CGUACCUGAGCCCGUACCGCGGCGGGGAGCGGCUCCGAGGCCGGUGCGGGUUUUGCUAUCUUCAAAAAAGAAUGUAAUUCAAAGCAAGCAAGAGCCUGCAAAGAAAAUACCUCUUCCACAACACUGUAGGCUGUGUUUUGGUGCACUUCACAAGGCAAUUGCUGUAUUUAAUAAUAGUCUGAGCAAUAACCAGCCACCUGGUCUUUAUAUCCCACAGCAAAUUGAUCAUCAUGGUGGGACAGAAGAUGGCAGAUUCUCUCUGCCAGGAAACUCAAGAAAGAGAUGCUUGGAAUGACAGUCUCCACAGCAGCAGCCGGUUUUGCAGCCUCUUGAAGAAGCUGGCUCUUGCUACCAAAAAUGCUGCAAUACAAUAUCCAAAUGCAGAUGCAUUGAGGGAACUUCAGAAUCAAAAUGAUGAGCUGUAUAAAUAUGCACAGUAGUUUAGAGCAACGAUAGAAUGAAAGAUGCUUCAUGGUUUUUAUUUAUUUAUUU